GGGUGUUUGGUCUAGUGGUAUGAUUCUCUCUUUGGGUGCGAGAGGUCUCAAGUUCGAUUCUCGAAUGCCCCA
rfam:Ipomoea nil DNA, scaffold: scaffold3169, cultivar: Tokyo-kokei standard.